CCUACGGGAGGCAUCAGUGAGGAAUAUUGGUCAAUGGUCGGGAGACUGAACCAGCCAAGCCGCGUGAGGGAGGAAGGUACAGAGUAUCGUAAACCUCUUUUGUCAGGGAGCAACGACUGGGACGCGUCCCCGGAUGAGUGUACCUGAAGAAAAAGCAUCGGCUACCUCCGUGCCAGCAGCCGCGGUAAUACGGAGGAUGCGAUCGUUAUCCGGAUUUAUUGGGUUUACAGGGUGGGCAGGCGGUCUGUUAAGUCAGCGGUCAACGACCGGGGCUCAACCCCGUCCCGCCGGUGAAACUGGCAGUGUAGAGGUGGAGAGAAGUAUGCGGAAUGGGAGGUGUAGCGGUGAAAUGCAGAGAGAUCGCGAAGAACUGCGAUUGCGAAGGCAGCAUGCCGGCUCCACACUGACGCUGAGGCACGAAAGCGUGGGUAUCGAACAGGAUUAGAUACCCGUGUAGUC
rnacentral:rRNA from 1 species